GAUGAACGCUGGCGGCGUGCCUAAUACAUGCAAGUCGAGCGAACAGACGAGGACCUUGCUCCUUUGACUUUAUCGGCGGCCGGGUGAGUAACACGUCGAUAACCUACUUCUACGACUGGGAUAACUUCGGGAAACCGGAGUUGAUACCGGAUAACAUGCUGAAUCUCAUGGUUCAACAGUGAAAGAAGGUUUUGCUGUCACUUAUAGAUGGAUCCGCGCCGUAUUAGCUAGUUGGUAAGGUAACGGCUUACCAAGGCGGCGAUGCGUAGCCGACCUGAGAGGGUGAUCGACCGCAACAGAACGAAGGCACGGUCCAGAAGCCUACGAGAGGCAGCAGUAGGGAAUCUUCCGCAAUGGGCGGAAGACUGACGGAGCAACGCCGCGUGAGGGAAGAAGGUCUUCGGAUCGUAAAGCUCUGUUAUUAGGGGAGAACAAAUGUGUAAGUAACUAUGCACGGCUUGACGGUACCUAAUCAGAAAGCCACGGCUAACUACGUG
rnacentral:rRNA from 1 species